AGACAUAUCUAUUAUCUAUUAUCUAUUAUCUACUAUCUACCAUCUAUUUGUGACGCCCCGACUUCCAAGGGGGUCACCCAUCCUAGGAUUACUCCCGUCCUAACACGCUUAACUCUCUUAACCUCUCGAGCCUAGCCAUCACCCAAAAUAUUUAAGCCGGGUUAACAGUUUUAGCCCUAUUAAAUCUUAUGUAUAGGACUACCUAGGGUGUCACAAUCUCCCUC
rnacentral:lncRNA from 1 species